rnacentral:rRNA from 1 species
CCUACGGGAGGCAGCAGUGAGGAAUAUUGGUCAAUGGACGCAAGUCUGAACCAGCCAUGCCGCGUGCAGGAAGACGGCUCUAUGAGUUGUAAACUGCUUUUGUACGAGGGUAAACGCAGAUACGCGUAUCUGUCUGAAAGUAUCGUACGAAUAAGGAUCGGCUAACUCCGUGCCAGCAGCCGCGGUAAUACGGAGGAUUCAAGCGUUAUCCGGAUUUAUUGGGUUUAAAGGGUGCGUAGGCGGGCGGAUAAGUUAGAGGUGAAAUCCCGAGGCUCAACUUCGGAAUUGCCUUUGAUACUGGUCGGCUAGAGAGUAGUUGCGGUAGGCGGAAUGUAUGGUGUAGCGGUGAAAUGCUUAGAGAUCAUGCAGAACACCGAUUGCGAAGGCAGCUUACCGGGCUACAUCUGACGUUGAGGCACGAAAGCGUGGGGAGCGAACAGGAUUAGAUACCCCUGUAGUC